rnacentral:rRNA from 1 species
UGGGGAAUAUUGCACAAUGGGCGCAAGCCUGAUGCAGCCAUGCCGCGUGUGUGAAGAAGGCCUUCGGGUUGUAAAGCACUUUCAGUAGUGAGGAAGGCGGUAAUGUUAAUAGCAUUAUCGUUUGACGUUAGCGAAAGAAGAAGCACCGGCUAACUCCGUGCCAGCAGCCGCGGUAAUACGGAGGGUGCGAGCGUUAAUCGGAAUUACUGGGCGUAAAGCGCAUGCAGGUGGUUUGUUAAGUCAGAUGUGAAAGCCCGGGGCUCAACCUCGGAAUAGCAUUUGAAACUGGCAGACUAGAGUACUGUAGAGGGGGGUAGAAUUUCAGGUGUAGCGGUGAAAUGCGUAGAGAUCUGAAGGAAUACCGGUGGCGAAGGCGGCCCCCUGGACAGAUACUGACACUCAGAUGCGAAAGCGUGGGGAGCAAACAGG